rnacentral:rRNA from 1 species
GAUGAACGCUGACAGAAUGCUUAACACAUGCAAGUCUUUGGCGAAGCUGUGCUUGCACAGCCUAGCCAAGGCGGACGGGUGAGUAACGCGUAAGGAACUUGCCCUGCAGUCAGGGAUAACAGACGGAAACGACUGAUAAGACCUGGUAAAGUCAGGCGGACUCAUGUCCAGCCUGAUGAAAAGAGAUGCUGCAGGAGAGCCUUGCGUCCUAUUAGCUUGUUGGUGGGGUAACGGCCCACCAAGGCGAUGAUAGGUAGCCGGCCUGAGAGGGUGGACGGCCAAAGGGGACUGAGAUACGGCCCUUACUCCUACGGGAGGCAGCAGUGGGGAAUAUUGGACAAUGGGGGCAACCCUGAUCCAGCAAUUCUGUGUGCACGAUGAAGGUUUUCGGAUUGUAAAGUGCUUUCAGCAGGGAAGAAAAAAAUGACGGUACCUGCAGAAGAAGCGACGGCUAAAUACGUG